rnacentral:rRNA from 1 species
UACGGAGGGUGCAAACGUUGCUCGGAAUCAUUGGGCGUAAAGCGCACGUAGGCGGCCUGUUAAGUCGGGUGUGAAAUCCCUGGGCUCAACCCAGGAAGUGCACUCGAAACUGGCAGGCUUGAGUACUGAAGAGGGUCGCGGAAUUCCCGGUGUAGAGGUGAAAUUCGUAGAUAUUGGGAAGAACACCGGUGGCGAAGGCGGCGCUCUGGACCGAGACUGACGCUGAGGCGCGAAGGCGUGGGGAGCGAACAGG